rnacentral:rRNA from 1 species
UUAAAGGAAUUGACGGGACCCGCACAAGCAGCGGAGCGUGUGGUUUAAUUCGUUGCUACACGAAGAACCUUACCUGGGUUUGACAUAUAGGUUGUAGGGAACUGAAAGGGACCGACCCUUCGGGGAGCCUAUACAGGUGUUGCAUGGCUGUCGUCAGCUCGUGUCGUGAGAUGUUCGGUUAAGUCCGCUAACGAGCGCAACCCUCGUCGUAUGUUAUAUGUGUCAUACGAGACUGCCGGUAAAAAGCCGGAGGAAGGUGAGGAUGAUGUCAAGUCAGCAUGACCUUUAUAUCCAGGGCUACACACACGCUACAAUGGUCUGUACAAUGGGUAGCCAAGCCGCGAGGCGGAGCCAAUCCUGAAAGCAGGCCUCAGUUCAGAUUGCAGUCUGCAACUCGACUGCAUGAAGCCGGAGUUGCUAGUAACCGCAGGUCAGCAAUACUGCGGUGAAUACGUUCCCGGGUCUU